UGGCCUUUGGCUCAAAAAUGUGUAAAGUUAUUUCCUUUCGUUUUCCAGAUUGCUGUUUCUGUCAUGGUAUGCAUGACAUCCCUGCAUUGCAGGGGGUUGGACUAGAUGACCCUGGAGGUCCCUUCCUACUCUGCAGUGAUUCUGCAUCUCAUCUGAUGGUUUCAGUCCCUCCCCUGGUCUUUGAGAGAACUCUAAACAAAUGUACAGGAUGAGUCCUUUGAAAGAGGCCCCGUGGAUACAGAGUAAAAGACACCCUGUACAUGCCAGUGUGAGAAAUGAUUGUGUGAACUGCCGGUGCUUUUUAAAUGGGUGGCUUCGCUUUGUCAUAUUUGUCGUAUUUAUCAGUUAGCAAGAUGGCAUUUUAAAGUAUUUAACCCCCAUUCUAUAAGCUGCCUUGAAAGGUCACCUAGCUCAGGGAGACAGCAUAGAAAUUGAUUAAAUAAAUAAAAUACAGCUAACACCAGUAGAGGUGAUACGUGAUUGUUCUAAACAUUAUUGACCCUGAUUUAGAAAGCUUACCUUGCUGGCUAAGAAAUUGUGUAUGCAGUUUAGAUACAAACGUGCAAUUUGAUUUGCAGCCCCCAGUGUCACAUGUGGUAAACACACUCACCCAAGUCAUAUAGAAAGAAGAGGCGGAGGUCCAAUUCUAGAAGCAAAAGGUGGGCACUUCUACUCUGUGCAUCCCAUUUGCUGUUAAAGUCAGACCUCUAAUUUUGCAAAUGAUACAGAGCUGCAAGGGAGCUGUGAUGUAGGUAGCCAAGUUUGUUGAAGAUACCAGAUUUUUC